CCUAAAAAUAACAAAAAAAAUCACAAGACCUAACCGCCUGCCCUACCACCCCGACUCAGCCGCCGCCGCCGCUACUCAUCUGAGCGGCUGAGAUGCCGCCGCCGCCACUGCUCACUGCAUCUUCUCCCCCACCCGGCCACCCCGGACGCCAACUCCCGUGGCGGCUGCCAUCUCCCGCAUCUCCGCCCUCGCCUUCUCACUGACCGCCGUCCGUCGCGCCGUUGCUGGACUCGCUGCAUGCAAGGAAGCAGAGGAUCAGAUGAGGAAAUGGACCCGCCGUCGCCCAUCCGUCCGCCCAGCGCCCACCCACCUUCGAUUCGAGCUUCGAUCUUUCGACAUCGUCCCAACUCUCCACAUCGGCAACUCAGCGGGCAACCGUCGGUCCACCUCGGCAUCUCGGCGGUGUCUUCUCCAGGUCGCCACCACGUCUUCCACGGAAGAAACUGAGCAAUCAGUCAAUAUGGCUGAACCUGGUGGAGUUGGUGAUGUUGAGAUGUCUGAAGAGGAGAUUCAAGUUUAUGAAGAAAGAAAGAAAAGAGGAGUAUGAACAGAAAAAGAAGGAAAUGGAUGAAUGGCCUAGAAGAAGGCAGAUGAAGAAAAGAUCACAGGUGUGGGAUCAAUUUUCUGAGGUGAUAUUGUAAUGAUGUGAAUGAUUAUUGGUUCGACCGGAAUUUUCAGAAGGUGGCAGAAGUGUGGAUAUAAUAGCAACAAUCAAAUGGAAUAUGUGGACUGGACAACUUUGUGGCGGAGGAAGCUAAUAUUCCUUUAAAAUUGUGGAAGAUAUUGAUGUAUACAAAGUAGAUUUGAUAUGCAAGAUGAUGUAUCUGUAGCACUCUGUUUGAUACUGAUUAUUAAGUUUGAAACUUGUUUAUGUAAAUUUGCGUUCAAAUCUGAUUCUG